rnacentral:rRNA from 1 species
UACGGAGGGAGCUAGCGUUGUUCGGAAUUACUGGGCGUAAAGCGCACGUAGGCGGCUUUGUAAGUUAGAGGUGAAAGCCUGGAGCUCAACUCCAGAAUUUCCUUUAAGACUGCAUCGCUUGAAUCCAGGAGAGGUGAGUGGAAUUCCGAGUGUAGAGGUGAAAUUCGUAGAUAUUCGGAAGAACACCAGUGGCGAAGGCGGCUCACUGGACUGGUAUUGACGCUGAGGUGCGAAAGCGUGGGGAGCAAACAGG